rnacentral:rRNA from 1 species
GAUGAACGCUGGCGGCGUGCCUAAUACAUGCAAGUCGAGCGAACAGACGAGGAGCUUGCUCCUCUGACGUUAGCGGCGGACGGGUGAGUAACACGUGGAUAACCUACCUAUAAGACUGGGAUAACUUCGGGAAACCGGAGCUAAUACCGGAUAAUAUAUUGAACCGCAUGGUUCAAUAGUGAAAGACGGUUUUGCUGUCACUUAUAGAUGGAUCCGCGCCGCAUUAGCUAGUUGGUAAGGUAACGGCUUACCAAGGCAACGAUGCGUAGCCGACCUGAUAGGGUGAUCGGCCACACGGGAACGGAGACACGGUCCAGACUCCUACGGGAGGCAGCAGUAGGGAAUCUGCCGCAAUGGGCGAAAGCCUGACGGAGCAACGCCGCGUGAGUGAUGAAGGUCUUCGGAUCGUAAAACUCUGUUAUUAGGGAAGAACAAAUGUGUAAGUAACUAUGCACGUCUUGACGGUACCUAAUCAGAAAGCCACGGCUAACUACGUG